AUGGAGUGCAACCCUAAGAUUAUUUUCUGGAAUGUCCGUGGCCUCAACUCGGGUGCCAAGCAUGCUGCCGUCCGUAGUGUCAUCUCCUCAGACCGCCCGGCCAUCAUCUGCCUACAAGAAACAAAGCUUGAGCUCUUCACGCCCCCUCUCGUCUCGGAGACACUGGGCCCGGCCUUUGACGCCUUCUUAUUUUUGCCCGGGGUGGGCACGUGUGGUGGCAUCCUUCUUGUUGGAAAUAUGCCCUAG
rnacentral:rRNA from 1 species